UCUAUGCAUUUUUUGAACACAUUAAUAUCCUUUUUCAUUUUUCCACAAUUAAAUCAAGAUAAAGACUUGGCCCAAUAAUUUUGUGAGUGACUGUGUUUUUUUUAUUUGACAGCAGAUUUUAUGUUGCAAUCAGCUGUUCAAAGUCAAAGUGACAGAAGCGCGCUUUGACCCUUCAAGCAAGAAAACGGAGUCCAGAAAAGACAGUCCGACCUCCGACCGAGAAACGCGGGGUUGCACUCACACACUUGCAACUUUUUGUGUAUGAACACAAAGUCGAACGAGAAUCGUGGUGGAAAGUGAGAAAUGGAAAAAAAAGUGAAACAGACAUAGCCAACAAGAGCAAAAGCGUCAUUUUGUUAUGUUUCGUUGAAGUGUAUAGUCGCGUCGCGUCGUGUCUCGUGUCGUUGUUAUUAUAAUAUUAGUAUAAUUAUAAACAAUAUCAAAUUAUAAACAAUAUGGAAACAAAAAAAGAUGUAAUCUCUAAUGAUGAAGAAAAAUCUAGAAGGUGAAACAUGCGAUUGGUAAUCUAAAAAACACCAACAACAGCAGCAGCAUCAAAUGAAAUAAAAUGAAAAAAAAUGUAUUGUAUUUUAUAUUGUAUUUAUUGUGAAAAUUUCGUUUGCCAAAAUAAAAUAAAAAAUAAAA